rnacentral:lncRNA from 1 species
GGGCCACAGACGUGAAGUCACGGCUCGCAGGGCCUGAAGCCACGGCGAAGCAGGCCUGAAGGAGCCACCUGCAUACGGAGCCCUGCGGCCCAGGAUCGGCGCACUUGUGGUUCUCAACCUGGCUACUCACCAGAAUCGCCUACGGGAGCCUUGGUCCAUCCCAGAGACGCUUGAGAAACCGGCCUGGGUGUCCUCAGCAGCUAGUUUAUUAAAUAGCCAAACUACAUGUCUGUGGACCAACCCAUGUCUCCAUGCAGCCCCUGAGAUGGAGCAGAGAAAACAAGCACCAAAACCCCUGGGGACUCAAGGGCCCCUCGUGGGGCCCAGACAAGGCUCCUGGCACCACCACCUUCUUGGAAUGUGUCCUUACCUGUGAGCUGGAGCAAUUGGGACACACUGCAGGCUGCAGCGGACGCCGGGCUGCCGCGGAGGCUCUGUGCUGGCUGCUUCUCCUCUCCCCGGCUCCCGCUGCCAUCGGCCUUCUGCCCUGGGCCCUGGCCACAGGCCCAAGUCUCUCCUGUUCCUCUGGCCUCAUGUGUGUGCUCCUAACAAUCCCAGCAGGAGCCAGGGUAGAGACCGAUAUGGCGGGUGGGGAAACUGAAGUCCAGGGGAGGCCCUAAUGCCCCAGACUGGCAGACAGGUCCUCCACUGCACCCUCCCAUCUCCACGCUCUGUGCUUUUUCUGAUCCCUACCAGAGACUCCAAGUGGAUUCCCACCAGCGCUCUCAGGCCUUCAGCAAGGCACUAGGGGCGUCUCCUCGGGGCCUGGGUGGGGAGUCAGGCCCCUGUCUGCCCUCAAACAGCUGGACCCUGGCUCCGCAGAAGGUCAGGCAUCCAAACGCCACCCCAGAGGCUCCCUGGCCCGCCUCCCACAUGAUGUUGAGAGAGGAGACACUUUCUACUUGUGUGUGUUCCGCUCCCGGGCAGGAGACGAGCUCAAGGGAGCCAGGCCAGGGAGGUGCACGGGGGCAAGGUAGCGGAGGGUGCCUCCAGACCCGACCCCGCACACUGCCAGCACCCCACCGUCCGUGCGCCUGCAGUGCCGGUGUGGCCUGGUGCACCACAGGGUUAAAUGUGGAAUAAAUGAGUGAGAUCUGGCCGAC